rnacentral:rRNA from 1 species
UACGGAGGGUGCGAGCGUUGUCCGGAAUCAUUGGGCGUAAAGGGCGCGUAGGUGGCGGCUUAAGCGUGCGGUGAAAGCUCGGGGCUCAACCCCGAGUCGGCCGUGCGAACUGAGUCGCUUGAGCACUGUAGAGGCAGGCGGAAUUCCGGGUGUAGCGGUGGAAUGCGUAGAGAUCCGGAAGAACACCGGUGGCGAAGGCGGUUCUCUGGGCAUUACCUGACGCUGAGGAGCGAAAGUGUGGGGAGCGAACAGG